GGGGGCGGAUGGGCGCCGGUGUGCCUCCCGGUCUUCAAAACCGGUGUGGGCGGCGCAGAGCCGUCCGGGUGAGUUCGAUUCUCACACGCCCCCGCCA
rnacentral:tRNA from 1 species